CCUACGGGUGGCAGCAGUGGGGAAUAUUGCACAAUGGGGGAAACCCUGAUGCAGCAACGCCGCGUGAGUGAAGAAGUAUUUCGGUAUGUAAAGCUCUAUCAGCAGGGAAGAAGAUGACGGUACCUGAAUAAGAAGCCCCGGCUAACUACGUGCAAGCAGCCGCGGUAAUACGUAGGGGGCGAGCGUUAUCCGGAUUUACUGGGUGUAAAGGGAGCGCAGACGGCAGUGCAAGUCUGGAGUGAAAGCCCGGGGCGCAACCCCGGAACUGCUCUGGAAACUGGGCGGCUAGAGUACUGGAGGGGCUGCCGGAAUUCCUAGUGUAGCGGUGAAAUGCUUAGAUAUUAGGAGGAACACCAGUGGCGAAGGCGGGCGUCUGGACAGUAACUGACGUUGAGGCUCGAAAGCGUGGGUAGCAAACAGGAUUAGAUACCCUGGUAGUC
rnacentral:rRNA from 1 species